rnacentral:rRNA from 1 species
AGUGAACGCUGGCGGUAGGCCUAACACAUGCAAGUCGAACGGCAGCACAGUAAGAGCUUGCUCUUACGGGUGGCGAGUGGCGGACGGGUGAGGAAUACAUCGGAAUCUACUUUUUCGUGGGGGAUAACGUAGGGAAACUUACGCUAAUACCGCAUACGACCUACGGGUGAAAGCAGGGGAUCUUCGGACCUUGCGCGAUUGGAUGAGCCGAUGUCGGAUUAGCUAGUUGGCGGGGUAAAGGCCCACCAAGGCGACGAUCCGUAGCUGGUCUGAGAGGAUGAUCAGCCACACUGGAACUGAGACACGGUCCAGACUCCUACGGGAGGCAGCAGUGGGGAAUAUUGGACAAUGGGCGAAAGCCUGAUCCAGCCAUACCGCGUGGGUGAAGAAGGCCUUCGGGUUGUAAAGCCCUUUUGUUGGGAAAGAAGAGCAGCAGGUUAAUACCCCGCUGUUCUGACGGUACCCAAAGAAUAAGCACCGGCUAACUUCGUG